UACGGAGGGGGCUAGCGUUGUUCGGAAUUACUGGGCGUAAAGCGCGCGUAGGCGGCUUUGUAAGUUAGAAGUGAAAGCCCGGAGCUCAACUCCGGAAUAGCCUUUAAGACUGCAUCGCUAGAACGUUGGAGAGGUAAGUGGAAUUCCGAGUGUAGAGGUGAAAUUCGUAGAUAUUCGGAAGAACACCAGUGGCGAAGGCGACUUACUGGACAACUGUUGACGCUGAGGUGCGAAAGCGUGGGGAGCAAACAGG
rnacentral:rRNA from 1 species